CUUUAAUUUAUCCCUUUUCCCCAAGUAGAACGCUGCAUUUACUUUACAUUUUGCUUUGGAGUCGGAAGUUCCAAAAUCACCAGGAGAGCUCCUCAGGCAUCUCCAGCCUGUAAUUCCUGGGAAAUGCCACCUGCCACCCAUCCUUGGAAGCGUCGCCCAUUCUCAGGAUCUCAUGCGUCACCAUUCAUCACAGUCACAGCGCUUGCAGACAUCUGGAUAAAAGGAAAAGCCCAUUUUUUUAAAACUUACACGUUAAAUUUUCCUCUAAUUACCAUUUUAUUCUUUUAAAUUUCAUUAUGUUUAAUUACAUUUAGUAUGGAUUAAGGCACAGCCAGCCUGGAUUAAGGCAUCACCAGCCUGGCAUCAGACUCUCCGGACAAUGCCAGCCCAGAGGGGGCUGACCUGGAGGACAUUCCCCCGGAGGACAUGGAGUGGGAGCCUCCAGGUCUUGACCUGAGUCCCACUCCGUGGUGUCAGCCCCGUGGCCAAAGUUUCCCCAGCCGAGGAGGCUAUCGCCGCGACAACGGCAGGGUCAACAGAAAUCCAGUCGUGGGCUCAGCUCCGGGAGGAAAAAACGAGGGUCCCUGGUUUGGUCCAGUUCCUGUCCUGCCUGCCCCUCGACACCCUCCGACUCUGCCAACCCCUCGCCGUCUACCGAUGCUGUUCUUCCCUCGGCUGCCGCAGACGAGUAGAGCUUCUACAGACCCAGACAGGAUUCCAAAGGCCCCCCUGGCCGUGACCCUUCUGCGGCACCCCGGAGCCCAUCAGAGGCCCUGAACUGUUCACUUUACCUCCCAUGCUACCUAGUGUCUUGCCCCUCCUAAUACCUCAGUCUUUGGUCUGUAGUCUUGCUUCCCCGUGGCUCUCCCUGGUUUCACCUCUUAGCCUGAUUUCACUGUUCCAGCCCCCACUCCAGUCACUCUUGCUUCCCGCUUUAGGUUCCCCUCUCCUGGCCAUAUUAUUGUUGCACUGGUUCCGUUGCUUGCCUGUCUUGUCUGGUUGUGUCCUGCCUUGUCUGUCCCUGUGCCAUCUUUGGUCCUUUUGAUGCCCAAUCCCUCCCUUUUGUCUCCUUCUACUGUGUCCUUUGUUCCCACUUACCCGCUGACACCCACUGUCUGUCUUUUGGUCCAUAGUCAGCAUCCCUGUUGGAUUACCUGGCCUGUCAUGAUUUGUGUCCUGGGGGUUAGUCUCCCCUGUUGUCCUUGGUUUUGCCCUGGUCUGUGUGUCCCCUCAAUGAUGCCCUUGUACCCGGAGGGCACAGGAUUGGGAGGGGGGCGUUUACUGUCAUAUCUUGCCCAUUUAAUCAACCUUACCCUCCAGUUCUCCUCCCUGAUGAGCCACGCUUGGUGUCUAUUAGUCUCAUCCCAUGUUCCUCCCCUUCUGUCAGUCACUAUCAGCUUCCUUGUGUUUUCCCAUUCCUUAGUCUGGUAA